GACGAACGCUGGCGGCGUGCCUAACACAUGCAAGUCGAGCGAAUGAAGUUCCUUCGGGAACGGAUUUAGCGGCGGACGGGUGAGUAACACGUGGGCAACCUGCCUCAUAGAGGGGAAUAGCCUUCCGAAAGGGAGAUUAAUACCGCAUAAGAUUGUAGUACCGCAUGGUACAGCAAUUAAAGGAGCAAUCCGCUAUGAGAUGGGCCCGCGGCGCAUUAGCUAGUUGGUGAGGUAACGGCUCACCAAGGCGACGAUGCGUAGCCGACCUGAGAGGGUGAUCGGCCACAUUGGGGCUGAGACACGGGCCAGACUCCUACGGGAGGCAGCAGUGGGGAAUAUUGCACAAUGGGGGAAACCCUGAGGCAGCAACGCCGCGUGAGUGAUGACGGCCUUCGGGUUGUAAGGCUCUGUCUUCAGGGACGAUAAUGACGGUACCUGAGGAGGAAGCCACGGCUAACUACGUGCCAGCCGCCGCAGUAACAC
rnacentral:rRNA from 1 species